ACACCCUCAAGCUCUGCUUGGUGUUGGGCGUCUGUCCCGCCUCCGCGCGUGGACUCGCCCCAAAUUCAUUGGCAGCGGUCUUCUUGCCCCCUCUCGCGCAGCACAUUGCGCUUCUCGAGGGCGGCGGGCCGCGUCCACGAAGCAACAUUCACCGU
rnacentral:misc_RNA from 2 species